AUUUCGCGCAGUGUACCUUGGGGUUGGACUGCCUUGGGGUGUCAGGUUGUCAAUCGCCUCGCCUGUUGUUUGUUGCCCCUGAUUGUUGACAUGCAUUCCCGCAAAUGAGCCGUGCAAUUGUCGUGCUGCCUCCUAUUGACAGCUCCCAGUUCGAUAGUCAAAUAGUUCGAUGCAUAUGUACAUCUCGCGACGGGACCUCAUCCUUGGACCCGCGGGAUUCGUCUCGAGUUUCAGAGUCGCAGCGUGGAGCACUCCUGCAUUUUCACAUCUCGGGGCUUCCCUGACUGACAACUGUCGGUUUCCAUCUCGGGGUGCUGACACUGAAAAGUGUGACGAUUUAUUUGUCAUAUGGCGCGGGGUGCCGAAAUCAAUUGGUUUUGUGCCCGGCAGAUGCCUUAGAUCUGCGACACGGGCAUUGACAACCUCAACUGGACUUCAUUUGUCCUGGAUGCGACUGUCAUUUGCUUUAUAUUCAACUCUUCCGUUGG
ensembl:ncRNA lncRNA:CR43238 long non-coding RNA:CR43238